AUACUUGUCAUCAAAAUGGAUAAAAAGAUAUGUAUCUAAAACUAAAAUACGUCUAGAUACAUUUCCUUUUAUCCAUUUUGAUGACAAGUAUUUCCGGACGGAGGGAGUAUUUG
rnacentral:pre_miRNA from 1 species